UGUUCAAGUAUUAAAUAUUGAAUCAAUUUAUGAAAAAAUUAUGAAGACUAUUAAUUAUAUAGUUGAAUAUAUACGUGCAAAGCACUUGGGAUGAAAACUAGUUUAGAAAAAUAUUCCUAAUAAAUAUGAUGUCCCAGGGAUUACACUGGCAGACCCUCGUUAAACCUCUGUUCAUGACACCAUCACUUUUGAUGUCAGAGUUAGUUUUUAAAGAUUUCUUUUUGUUUUUCCCCUUAGAUAAUAUUUGGCUUAUUUUAUUAUUGCAUUGCUUAGUAUCUCAACUUAGAUAAUUGCAGGUUCAUUUUGCAUUAAACUGGGUUGUUUAUGUGUUUGUCGGUGGAGAGGCUUUGUGUCCAUAUUGUUAACUAGCGGUCAUGGCGUGAUAAGUUCUUGAAGGUUUGGAUUGCACCUUGUCAAAUGUCAUGUGGCAGAGAGCUCAACUUGGCAUUUUUUUAACAAUGUGGUGGACCACAGAGGAAUUUUUGAAGUAUCUUCCCUGGGGUUGCAAAUAAGAUUUGGACAAUGAUAUCAUUAGUUGCAGACCAUAUUUGGAGCAUCCUUGUGCUUGCAUAUAGUUUGAAUCUCCAGAAGGCAGCAAAAUGCUUGAAUUUUGAAAGACUCUUUCUGCUUACAAAUAGAAGGAUGCCAUAUUGAAAGCCAUUUCACAAAAUCAGGAUGGUAAUGCACAGGUCUUUUUUUUUUCGUUAUAAGUUGUUUGUUGGCAACUUCACAUGGAAAUCUGUGGGCAUUGAUUAAGUUGAAUGAAGGCAUCUGUCUGUGUUUCUAAGCAAUGAAUGUAUUCAGCAUAAUGGUUAAGAGCUCACACUUGGUUUAUUAUAUUAUUUUGAGUUUCCUUGUCUAUAAUCCAUCUCUCCUAGUAAUAAAACUCUUUUGAAGUUCAUUGUAACAACUGAAAAUGUGAGCUGCCUCGGUUGUGGAUAAAAUGCAAUAUUGGUAUACAAAUAUAGGCAGAAACAGCACACCAAAAAGCCUUCAAAAGUGAUCAUUUGACUUCUAAAACUCCGGGAAAGAGUUUGGCCGCAUGUCAAAAAAUGAAAGUCUGUUCAAAUGGCUUUUAACUUCUCAAUUUGUGCAUAUAAAAAAGGUGCAUUGUUUGGUUGAGAUGGUGCGGUUUCGGGGUAUUUCCAUUGUUAUUGAUCUUAUGUAAACCUUUAAUUUUUACCAUUUCUUUCCCAAAAAUAUGUCUGAAGCAAUGUAGUUAUUUCCCAGUCGUUGGCCUACUGGUUACUUGCUUGGGCUAGCCCACUCUAUUGGCUAAAGCAGAUUAGUUAUUCUUUGGGCAACUUCUCGUUUAAGCCUGGGCACUCAAUGGUUGAAGAUAGUUUAUCUAGUAGAAAGAACAUGAAACUAUAGCCUUUAUAGUUAGUUCACGGUUAAUAGAAAAAAAAAAGGGCAAAGGAACAAAAUAAUGGACACUAUUCAUGUAAGUUGUAAUACAUAAAAGGAAGAAGCUAGAAAAAGGGAUGCUGGACUAUCUGCUUAAACAUUUACAGUAUGUCAUAUAAUUGAUCUGAGGGACGGGAUGUGACUACUGGAUCUUGGUGGGACGGGAUGUGACUAUUUCUGGAUCUUGGAAGAAUGCCGUUUUCUUGUUUGUUUGUUUAACUGACAUUGCAAAAUUGCCUUCAAAUUCAUGUUUACAAACCAUGUUGGUUUUCUUUUAUAUUUUGUAUAAUGUAGUGAAGAGGAAGAGCUGGCUGUGUCCAGCCAGGAGAAUGUUAUCACCUCUAUCCUAGAUAAAUGAUGCUUUUGCAUAGUAACCAAUUGCCAGAAAUUCUGAGAACCCCUUUGCAGUCUCUUUGUCUACAAAUCAAAAGUCUAAAACCUGGAAGUAUCUCUGACUUUCUAUCUAGGGCUAGUCGCCAGAGUUAUUAGCGGUACCCUUGAUUUUAUCUCCUUUCUUUUAUAUUAAUGUGACAUGCUUGGGCUUCCUUUUAUUUUUUUUCCAUUGUAGAAAUUAUUGUGAACUUCACCCUUCACUCAAGCAGAUUUCCCAUGCCUACUUCUUUUACCUUUUGUUUUCAAUUUAUGUAUCAUAGGUUCAAAAUGCAAUUGAAUAGUUAAAAAUCAUUGGAGCCUUGGAUCAGAAUGAAAAUUUGACUGUUCUAGGUAGAUCUAAAUUUCUCUAUAUUUUCUUUAUCAUUUUUAAGAUUUGUGUAACUUAUGCUAUUGCAAAAAGAUUUAUUGAUGCUAAGAUUUAGUUUUAUUCAAUCUGACUAUCUCCUGGCUGGUCGAAAUUUGACUAUACUUCCACUGGAGCCUAAGCUUGGAAAGAUGCUCAUUUUAGGUGCUAUUUUGAAUUGUCUGGAUCCAGUACAGACUGUUGUUACAGGCCUUAGUGUUAGAGAUCAUUUCUUGAUGCCAUUGGACAAGAAAGAUGUAAGUUAGCCUCCAAAUCUUAUGUUGUUCGAUGAAAGUUGUAUGCUCUGUGUGCUUUGAUUAGGAUAAAAGCAAUAUUUUUUCUCCUGAAGAGUCUUAUUUCAAAUUUUAUGGUUGGGUCCGCUAUUGGAUUCAAUGGGCUGCACAUAAAUGCAUUACACUUUUUUCUUAAUAACUCAUGAAUUGUGAUUGAGCGCACAUCUUUUUCUCUCAAGUUGUUUUUGUCAAGAUUGCACUUAGGCUCAGGUACUACCAAAUGGCAUGCAAGUGGUUGUCACCAUAUAUAGUGAAGUGGGAAACAACUGACACUGCUAAAAUUGGAGUAACUAAACAUCUGCUCAGCUUCUGUCCUGACAUAGAUUUAGCAUAGCAGUGACUGGCACGGUAGCAGUUGGAUUGCCGCCACUACUAAUACUGGCUGGCAACCGUGCAUCUUUGAUGCUUUGGUUGCCUGAAGAUAUCUGAAAACUCUCUGGAGCGUGUGACUGCAGCAUAGUGAUACUGAAGUCAGAUGUGCUGCUGAUUAUUUUUGCUCUUUAUUCUUACAAUUGGACAUCAUUUAAUGUCUGUUUUGUGCUAUGCAAAUUAUGUUGCUGAAGAAGAGUGCAGAAAAAGACGCAGCAGUGGCUGAUGGGUGGGACCCAGACAAGCCAAGAAUACCAAUCACAUGUCAAUGUUGCUGAAGAAGAGCAGAAAGGAUCAUCACUAGAAAGCAUUGUGAAGCUGCCUAUAGACUGCUUUUUUGGAGAGCCACUAGCUGAAUUGUUGGUGCCUAGCAAUUCUGGAACACAAGGAAAUGUAGUCUUCUUGUUAUGUAGGUCCAGCUACCUUUCUCCCUUCUUAAAGAUGAAAAGGAUGGUCGAACAACAAUGUCACUUUAAUAAACCUAAUCUUAUCUUAUUAAAGGGUUAUGGCCAUUAGCUGUUGGACAGAUUCUUCAGUCCACCACAGGAGCUGCAUGCUAACGGUGAUAACUUGUGGGUGAUUUGGAAUAUGAAAGAACCUGCAUUUAGACAUGGAGUUGAGCUGAAUAGUUAACAUUGAGAGGACUGGUAUGGAUUUCUCUACUCUAUCCAGUUUAUGCUUUUGCUGUUGGAGCUGCAUGAUUGAUGGCGACUGAAAGCGUGAUCUGAGACUGAAUACUGUUGAGCGGUCUCACUACAUCAAUGAAACUACACACCGACCUUAGAUAGGAGUCAGAGCCAACCCCUAUUUCGAGUCCAUUAUUCAUUUUGAUUGAUUUGUGUAUAGUUAGAUGAAAAAAAAAAUUAGGAUGUCCGGAACAUCUUGGGGGUUGUGUAUACGAAUGGGUCCAUUUUUUAUACAUGGUACUAAGCAACUUUCCUUGUUAUGAAAGGAUCCAGUGUCCACAGACCUGUUAUUCUGCAUACAUCAUAUCGUUCGUUUGCAUGUCUGUUGUCUUUAAGUUGAAAGCGGAAGGAUCCGAGUUUGUACUACAGAUUUGGCUUGUGUUGAUAGGAAUGAAGCCACCUUGUGGGGUCCUUAAAACCUCCCCACCUUUACUCAAAUUCUGCGCAAUCGAGGAGAUUUUAGGUCGUGGUUGCUUGAUCAAUGCUUUGUGCUCGGUUCAUUUAGGUAGAUUGGAUUUCUAUUUGGAAAGGGUGGCUGUAGUGAAGUUCUUCCAGUCUCGGUGCUCAAUUGUACACGGAGAACCGAGUAAGGGGGGGACUUGACUGUCAUUAUAAAUGCUUUUGAUGGCCAUUUGACUUGACAACAGGGGAUUUGAGUCUUGAGAUGACGAUUGGUUACACAGCUGUAAUUAGAUGUUUUGAGUUUCGAUUUGAAUGUCAUUGACUUCUUUGUCACCAGUCAUCUUAAUUUGAUCGUUAAUGGGUGACCACUACAA